rnacentral:rRNA from 1 species
UUACGAAUGUCGCUUACGUGAUUGCUGCAGACCUCGCGUCUCUUUAUUGAGUGCGACGCGUCUCUUCAACUCACUCGCACAUUCUCUUGAACGCAACGAGCGUGACCGCAACCUCUUGUUGUGUAUACCAAGUGUGUCGUUGCUUGCAACUCACACUCCAAUGCACGUAUUUUGGUCACAUUGUCUCGGCCGUCGCGCAGCCUCGGCUGUGUCGGCGCCAGCAAUGUCCAAAUAAACUUGAGGGACCGCUGUAACAAUUCUUUUAAACCAGAGGAAGGUUGCGGCAAUAACAGGUCUGUGAUGCCCUUAGAUGUCCCGGGCCGCCAC